GGCGCGGUCCCUACCACACCGAGGCAGGAACGUCGACUCCCCUCUCACUGCACACACACACACACGCCGACCCCGCGCAGAUCCAGAGCAAGAUUCAAAGGAACAUCUUUACGUCCUCUACCAGCUCCCCCGCAUCGUACUAAGGAGGAAGAGCGGUGAGAAAACUUUUCUCCACUGUCCUUCGCGUUUCUGCCGCCUUGUCCCGAGGCCUAGGCACCUCACAGGUAGUGAUGGCUCUACAUAAGACACAGACAUUGCUUCUGUUCUUGCUGCUGACCCUUUUGGGGCUGGGGCUGGUGCAGCCCUCCUAUGGCCAGGAUCGCAUGUACCAACGAUUCCUGCAGCAACACGUGGACCCUGAUGAGACAGGUGGUGAUGAUAUCUACUGCAACGUGAUGAUGCAAAGACGGAAGAUGACUUUGCGUCAGUGCAAGCGCUUUAACACCUUCAUCCAUGAGGAUAUCUGGAACAUUCGUAGUAUCUGCAGCACCGACAAUAUCCAAUGCAAGAAUGGCAGGAUGAACUGCCAUGAGGGGGUAGUGAAGGUCACAGACUGCAGGGAGACAGGAAGUUCCAAGCCUCCCAACUGUAGAUAUCGGGCCAUGGCAAGAACUCGGCGUGUUGUCAUCGCCUGUGAGGGGGACCCAGAGGUGCCUGUACACUUUGACAGAUAGAUGCACCCUUGCAGGGGUUAUGGCCGGUGGCUGGCCUUUAACUUACUCCUUGAGUACAAUGAGUAAUGCUUUUGAGCUGUCCCAGACUCUGUCUCCUCUGCUUAUUUCUUAUUCUUUUUUUUUUUUUUUUUUUUUUUUUUUUUUUUUUUUUUGUAUAACCCAUUUUAUUAAGUACAUUGCAUCAGAGAGUAAAGGAGACAUAAACCUAUGAGUCUGGGCUUUUCUGCACUAAGCUUCCUUCCAUAAUACUGGUCAGCUUAGCUCUCUCAGAUCUUAUCCUCUGGAAUUUAGUCAUUAUAUGUAUUUUAUAGCGUUUCAAGCAUUUCAGAGUGCUUUCAUUUAAGUUAUCUCAUUUUAAUACCACAGCAGCCCUGUAACGCUGAUGAUGCUGAAAUAUAUACAUAAACUUAAGGGAUUUGCUGAAGACAAUAAAGUCAGUGAAAAAUCUGAGACAAAAAUUUAGUUUAACUGGCUUCUCGUCCAGGGUCUUUUCUACUUCAUCAAGAGCAGUGUUUUGAAAGUGUCUGCUUUUUUUUUUUUUUAAUCCCUGAAAGCCAGCUGUUGGGGAAGCAAUAAAAAUUUGGAAAUAUAUACUGGCAAAAUGAGAGUUCUGUGUUAUUUGGCAUUGUUAUGUUUGAGUCUGAUAAAAAAAAAAUAGUAAGAAUUUUCUCUUUCUCUUCCAAACUUUUGAAUCACCCUUUUAAGUGAGGGUAUUAAAAAUGUGCUAGAUCGUUAAAACUCAUUUACUCUUC